GUGCUCACUUGGGCAGCACAUACACUAGAAUUGAAAGAAUACAGAGAUUAACAUGGCGCCGGUGCAAGGAUGACAUGCCAAUUCAUGAAGUGUUCCAUAUUUUU